rnacentral:rRNA from 1 species
GUUAAUCGGGGCAGGGUAAGUCGGACCCUAAGGCGAGGCCGAAAGGCGUAGUCGAUGGGAAACGGGUUAAUAUUCCCGUACUUCUUACAAUUGCGAUGGGGGGACGGAGAAGGCUAGUGGGCCUGGCGACGGUUGUCCAGGUUCAAGUGCGUAGGCUUAAGAGUUAGGUAAGAUCCGGCUCUUUUUAAGGCUGAGACACGGACGUCGAGCACCUACGGGGUGUGAAGUCAUUGGAUGCCAUGCUUCCAGGAAAAGCCUCUAAGCUUCAGAUUGUAAGGAAUCGUACCCCAAACCGACACAGGUGGUCGGGUAGAGAAUACCAAGGCGCUUGAGAGAACUCGGGUGAAGGAACUAGGCAAAAUGGGUACCGUAAACUUCGGGAGAAGGUACGCUCUCGACGGUGAAGUCCCUUGCGGAUGGAGCUAAUUGAGAGUCGCAGAUACCAGGUGGCUGCAACUGUUUAUUAAAAACACAGCACUGUGCAAAAUCGUAAGAUGACGUAUACGGUGUGACGCCUGCCCGGUGCCGGAAGGUUAAUUGAUGGGUUAGACUUCGGUCGAAGCUCUUGAUCGAAGCCCCCGGUAAACGGCGGCCGUAACUAUAACGGUCCUAAGGUAGCGAAAUUCCUUGUCGGGUAAGUUCCGACCUGCACGAAUGGCGUAAUGAUGGCCACGCUGUCUCCACCCGAGACUCAGUGAAAUUGAAAUCGCUGUGAAGAUGCAGUGUACCCGCGGCUAGACGGAAAGACCCCGUGAACCUUUACUACAGCUUGGGCACUGAACAUUGACCUACAUGGUGUAGGAUAGGUGGAGGCUUUGAAGCACGUACGCCAGUAUGUGUGGAGCCGUCCUUGAUAAUACACCCUUGUAGUGUUGAUGUUCUAACGUCGACCCCUAAUCGGGGUUGCGGACAGUGCCUGGUGGGUAGUUUGACUGGGGCGGUCUCCUCCCAAAGAGUAACGGAGGAGCCACGAAGGUGGGCUAAUCACGGUUGGACAUCGUGAGGUUAGUGCAAUGGCAUAAGCCCGCUUGACUGCGAGAAUGACAAUUCGAGCAGGUGCGAAAGCAGGUCAUAGUGAAUCCGGUGGUUCUGAAUGGAAGGGCCAUCGCUCAACGGAUAAAAGGUACUCGGGGAUAACAGGCUGAUACCGCCCAAGAGUUCAUAUCGACGGCGGUGUUUGGCACCUCGAUGUCGGCUCAUCACAUCCUGGGGCUGAAGUCGGUCCAAGGGUAUGCUGUUCGCCAUUUAAAGUGGUACGCGAGCUGGGUUUAGAACGUCGUGAGACAGUUCGGUCCCUAUCUGCCGUGGGCGUUGGAAGAUUGAAGGGGGCUGCUCCUAGUACGAGAGGACCGGAGUGGACGAACCUCUGGUGUUCGGGUUGUGUCGCCAGACGCAUUGCCCGGUAGCUAAGUUCGGAAUCGAUAACCGCUGAAAGCAUCUAAGCGGGAAGCGAGCCCUGAGAUGAGUCUUCCCUGAUACUUUAAGUAUCCUAAAGGGUUGUCGGAGACUACGACGUUGAUAGGUCAGGUGUGUAAGUGCUGUGAGGCAUUGAGCUAACUGAUACUAAUUGCCCGUGAGGCUUAACCAU